AUUGAACGCUGGCGGCAGGCCUAACACAUGCAAGUCGAGCGCGAAAUUUCCUUCGGGAAUGAGUAGAGCGGCGACGGGUGAGGAACGCGUAGGAAUCUACCUAGUAUGGGGGACAACAAUCGGAAACGGUUGCUAAUACCGCAUAAGCCCUAAGGGGGAAAGCAGGGGAUCUUCGGACCUUGCGCUAUUGGAUGAGCCUGCGUCGGAUUAGCUAGUUGGUGGGGUAAUAGCCUACCAAGGCAACGAUCCGUAGCUGGUCUGAGAGGAUGAUCAGCCACACUGGGACUGAGACACGGCCCAGACUCCUACGGGAGGCAGCAGUGGGGAAUAUUGGACAAUGGGCGCAAGCCUGAUCCAGCCAUGCCGCGUGUGUGAAGAAGGCUCUAGGGUUGUAAAGCACUUUCAGUAGGGAGGAAAAGUUAGUAGUUAAUAACUGCUAACCCUGACGUUACCUACAGAAGAAGCACCGGCAAACUCCGUG
rnacentral:rRNA from 1 species